rnacentral:rRNA from 1 species
GAUGAACGCUGGCGGCGUGCCUAAUACAUGCAAGUCGAGCGAACGGACGAGAAGCUUGCUUCUCUGAUGUUAGCGGCGGACGGGUGAGUAACACGUGGAUAACCUACCUAUAAGACUGGGAUAACUUCGGGAAACCGGAGCUAAUACCGGAUAAUAUUUUGAACCGCAUGGUUCAAAAGUGAAAGACGGUCUUGCUGUCACUUAUAGAUGGAUCCGCGCUGCAUUAGCUAGUUGGUAAGGUAACGGCUUACCAAGGCAACGAUGCAUAGCCGACCUGAGAGGGGGUUCGGCAAAACGGGAACUGAGACACGGGCAAGAACCCAAGGGGAGGAAGAAGAAGGGAAUCUUCGGCAAUGGGCGAAAGCUGGACGGAGAAACGCGGCGGGAGGGAGGAAGGUCUUCGAAUCGUAAAACUCUUUAAUAAGGAAAGAAAAAAGGGGUAAGUAACUGUGAACAUCUGAACGGUACCUAAUCAGAAAGCAACGGCUAACUACGU